rnacentral:tRNA from 1 species
UCACCACUAACACUGCGAAAACGCAAAAGCGUCUUGAAAAGACUGUGCCAAAUUUCCGCU